ensembl:lncRNA
UGUAGUCAUCAAAAAUAAGUCAAUAGAACACUAUACAGACUUUUAGACUUUGAUAUAUUAACAGGGACUGAAGGCCAUAUUUCUUCUAAAGACUUGGCUUUAUGAACUCAUAAGAUGAUUGUAGCUAUCAGAGUGGCCGAAAAUUCAUUUUACUCUUUUAUUCCAAAUAAAUCUAAGAAUUACUGUGAACUAAGGUAGCCAAAGCAUCUUUUCUCAGAGAAUGAAGGAGAUUGGCUACUUCAGGUAAGAACACUUUUCUUUUCUCUAGAAGUAACUUUUGAAAACUUUGUUUGCUUGAUUUGAUCUCUUUUUUUCUCCAAAUAUGUCAGAGUUCCUAACCUCUAUUUGAUGAGCAAUUUCAAAGAUGAGGCCAAGAAUAUCUGAGCCAUGGUGACCUUCCUAGUCCAUCUCCCAAGAGCAAAGCCAAUCACAACACAAGAGGCCUAUUCAGAGAAAAAUAGCAUUCCCAAAUGGCUUUCUUUGGUUGUGUGGAAAGAAGCGUCUACAAGUCACCUAGAUGGAUCUAGAGAAGAAAAAAAUCUAAAGUGCCAGGUCAUUCCAGAUCACUCACUGAAUUCAGGAGUGGUAAGUCCAUAGGAUGGGGUCUUGGUGUUCCCCACUGGAAACUGAGUUCAUGGAAGAACUGGUCACCCUCACCAGUAAUCUCUACCCCCAUAUCAGCAGUGUGAUCCCAUCUCCCCUUUUCUCAAAGCAUAAAAUUAUCUCGAACAUAAUGGAAUGUUUAAAAGUGUUUAGCAAAGGAGAAUUUUACUGUUAGCAUUUAGCAUGAGCUCUUGACUACUUGGAUACCGAAGUAAAAAAAAAAAAGAAGUCCUAUGUAGCUUUAUUGUCCUAUGUAAAAGUCCUGUGUAUCUCUAUUCCACAAAAUUGUUUUCUUCGUUUACUAAGUUACUUAAAAUUUGUCUGCUGCUGCUGCUGCUAAGUUGCUUCAGUCAUGUCCGACUCUUUGUGAUUCCAGGCUCCUUUGUCCAUUGUAUUCUCCAGGCAAGAAUACUGAAGUGGGUUGCCAUUUCCUCCUCUAAAAGUUCUCUAAUUGGUCUUAUUUUGUUAAAGCUCCUUCUAAUCUCUUCACAAAUAAAAACCAGGAAUCAAAUACUUCUACCA